UACGGGGGGGGCAAGCGUUGUUCGGAAUUACUGGGCGUAAAGGGCGCGUAGGCGGCCUACUAAGUCGGACGUGAAAUCCCUCGGCUCAACCGAGGAACUGCGUCCGAUACUGGUGGGCUUGAAUCCGGGAGAGGGAUGUGGAAUUCCAGGUGUAGCGGUGAAAUGCGUAGAUAUCAGGAAGAACACCAAUGGCGAAAGCAGCUUUCUGGGACGGUACUGACGCUGAGACGCGAAAGCGUGGGGAGCGAACAGG
rnacentral:rRNA from 1 species